GAUGAACGCUGGCGGCGUGCCUAAUACAUGCAAGUCGAGCGAACAGACGAGGAGCUUGCUCCUCUGACGUUAGCGGCGGACGGGUGAGUAACACGUGGAUAACCUACCUAUAAGACAGGGAUAACUUCGGGAAACCGGAGCUAAUACCGGAUAAUAUAUUGAACCGCAUGGUUCAAUAGUGAAAGACGGUUUUGCUGUCACUUAUAGAUGGAUCCGCGCCGCAUUAGCUAGUUGGUAAGGUAACGGCUUACCAAGGCAACGAUGCGUAGCCGACCUGAGAGGGGGAUCGGCCACACUGGAACUGAGACACGGCCCAGACCCCUACGGGAGGCAGCAGUAGGGAAUCUUCCGCAAUGGGCGAAAGCCUGACGGAGCAACGCCGCGUGAGUGAUGAAGGUCUUCGGAUCGUAAAACUCUGUUAUUAGGGAAGAACAAAUGUGUAAGUAACUAUGCACGUCUUGACGGUACCUAAUCAGAAAGCCACGGCUAACUACGUG
rnacentral:rRNA from 1 species